GUAUUGCUCCAUUUUUCAGACAUCCAUCCAUACCAAUGCUUUGCGUAUGGAACAGGGUUCAAAAAAGGCAACUUUGAAGAGAUUGCCAACGUUGAGAAUACUGAAGAAUGUCAAUACGAAUGCCAACUCAACGACAUUUGUCUGUUCUUCACAUACUAUGAAGACAAGAAAACUUGUAUUCUGAACAAGCUACUACGUGCGACACGAAUUUUCGGCCAGUCUGGUAUCACCGGGCCUAAAUUAUGCAAAUCACCUGGACCCAAAAAGGACUUCAGCCAAUUCAAAAUAACAGCUAGUUCAAUCAGUCCUGGAAUGGACCCAGAAUAUGCAUUGGAUGGAUAGAGAUCAAAGACAAAUUUUUACCAGAGCAAAGAGGAAUCGGGACCUUGGAUCAAGAUUGACCUUCUUGAGGAACACCUUAUCACCAGUGUCAUAAUCUAUCUUCCACGGGUCAUAGAAACGAGGGACCCAACUUUUUCCAUACAAUUUGAAAGCACAUCUGGCAGCAUUAGAGGUUCUAGUUUUCGUCCCACUGAAAGCACACAAUAUAGGAAGUACUUCUCAUUUUUGCCUACCUAUGAAGGAAGAUAUUUGACCAUAAGAAAGUCAGGUUUAGUCGGCGUUCUUUCAAUUGAUGAACUUCAACUCAUCUUCAAUGAGAGAAAUGUAAUGCCCUUGCUCAAGGAUUGCUCAGAAAUGAUCAGAUGGAACAAAAAACUAGGGUCGUUUCAUGGUGACCCUACUGGAAAACUGAAUCCAGCCACUGGACAACUGAUUUACUGCGAUAAAGAAGGUUGGACUGAUAUUUUAGUUCGCAAAAGGGAACCCAAA